rnacentral:rRNA from 1 species
AGAACGAACGCUGGCGGCAUGCCUAAUACAUGCAAGUCGAACGAACACUUCGGUGUUAGUGGCGCACGGGUGCGUAACGCGUGGGAAUCUGCCCUUGGGUUCGGAAUAACAGUUGGAAACGACUGCUAAUACCGGAUGAUAUCGAAAGAUCAAAGAUUUAUCGCCCAGGGAUGAGCCCGCGUAGGAUUAGCUAGUUGGUGAGGUAAAGGCU